rnacentral:rRNA from 1 species
UACGAAGGGGGCUAGUGUUGCUCGGAAUCACUGGGCGUAAAGCGCACGUAGGCGGCUUUCUAAGUCAGGGGUGAAAUCCUGGAGCUCAACUCCAGAACUGCCUUUGAUACUGGAGAGCUUGAGUCCGGGAGAGGUGAGUGGAACUCCGAGUGUAGAGGUGAAAUUCGUAGAUAUUCGGAAGAACACCAGUGGCGAAGGCGGCUCACUGGCCCGGUACUGACGCUGAUGCGCGAAAGCGUGGGGAGCAAACAGG